AACGAACGCUGGCGGCAGGCUUAACACAUGCAAGUCGAGCGAAGACUUCGGUCUUAGCGGCGGACGGGUGAGUAAUGUCUGGGAAACUGCCUGAUGGAGGGGGAUAACUACUGGAAACGGUAGCUAAUACCGCAUAACGUCGCAAGACCAAAGUGGGGGACCUUCGGGCCUCAUGCCAUCAGAUGUGCCCAGAUGGGAUUAGCUAGUAGGUGGGGUAAUGGCUCACCUAGGCGACGAUCCCUAGCUGGUCUGAGAGGAUGACCAGCCACACUGGAACUGAGACACGGUCCAGACUCCUACGGGAGGCAGCAGUGGGGAAUAUUGCACAAUGGGCGCAAGCCUGAUGCAGCCAUGCCGCGUGUAUGAAGAAGGCCUUCGGGUUGUAAAGUACUUUCAGCGAGGAGGAAGGCAUUAAGGUUAAUAACCUUAGUGAUUGACGUUACUCGCAGAAGAAGCACCGGCUAACUCCGUGCCAGCAGCCGCAGUAACAC
rnacentral:rRNA from 1 species